CCUACGGGACGCAGCAGUGAGGAAUAUUGGUCAAUGGGCGGAAGCCUGAACCAGCCAAGUCGCGUGAGGGAUUAAGGCCCUAUGGGUCGUAAACCUCUUUUGUCAGGGAGCAAUGGCGUCCACGUGUGGGCGUAUGGAGAGUACCUGAAGAAAAAGCAUCGGCUAACUCCGUGCCAGCAGCCGCGGUAAUACGGAGGAUGCGAGCGUUAUCCGGAUUUAUUGGGUUUAAAGGGUGCGUAGGCGGGACCUUAAGUCAGCGGUAAAAUUGCGGUGCUCAACGCCGUAGAGCCGUUGAAACUGGGGUU
rnacentral:rRNA from 1 species